CUCAUUAUGAACCAAACAGCAAAGUGCAAACGCCAAAGUUUGAAAAGAAAACCGUUCAUCUGCCGACUGCCAUUCUGCCUUGCGCCUCUGGUUGCCAACAAUUGAAAUUUGAAAAAAAAAAUAAAUAAAAAUAAAUCGUGCCCCACUAACUCAAAAUUUCUACGCCCGCCACUGCCCACGUAUCAUCUCCUACUACCUCACGUUUCAAGUGAAGGACCUCCACCUAUCCAACGGUUGGUUGUGCCCAUGAUGAUAACUGUUAAACGAUCCCCCAUCCAAUUCAAUGAUGUUCUUGCUAUUAAGUGGCGUGCUGGUCUCGUAGUGAUAGAUGACCUUAUAAUGGUAGGAUGAUUGUAAAGAAUCUCGUAAUGGUCGAUAGCCCAUCAUGGAUGUAGAGGACCUCAUAGCGAUCGACGGCCCAUUAUGGUCGUAGAGAACCUCAUAGUAUCGACGACCUAGCAUGCGACACUUUAG
rnacentral:lncRNA from 1 species